rnacentral:rRNA from 1 species
AACGUAGGAGGCAAGCGUUAUCCGGAGUGACUGGGCGUAAAGAGCGUGUAGGCGGUUGAGUAAGUUGCGUGUGAAAGCGCCCGGCUAAACUGGGCGAGGACAGGCAAGACUGCUGAGUUAGAGGCCGAUAAAGGGGGGCGGAAUUCCGGGUGUAGCGGUGAAAUGUGUAGAGAUCCGGAGGAACACCAGUGGUGCAGACGGCGCCCUGGAUCGGACCUGACGCUGAGACGCGAAAGCGUGGGGAGCGAACGGG